GACGAACGCUGGCGGCGCGCCUAACACAUGCAAGUCGAACGGAGCUGAGAGAAGCUUGCUUUUCUUAGCUUAGUGGCGAACGGGUGAGUAACGCGUGAGUAACCUGCCCUGGAGUGGGGGACAACAGAUGGGAACGAAUGCUAAUACCGCAUAAGCCCACGAUCCGGCAUCGGCUUGAGGGCAAAGGAUUUAUUCUCGUCCGGUUGGACGCUCGACCAUUUAGCUAGUUGGUGAGGUAACGGCCCACCAACGCGAGAAUUGGUAGCCGGACUGAGAGAUAGAGCGGCCACAUUGGGACUGAGACACGGCCCAGACUCCUACGGGAGGCAGCAGUGGGGGAUAUUGCACAAUGGGGGAAACCCUGAUGCAGCGACGCCGCGUGGAGGAAGAAGGUUUUCGGAUUGUAAACUCCUGUCGUUAGGGACGAUAAUGACGGUACCUAACAAGAAAGCACCGGCUAACUACGUG
rnacentral:rRNA from 1 species